rnacentral:rRNA from 1 species
UAUUUUCAGUGGCGAGCUUAACCGAAUAGGGGAGGCGUAGCGAAAGCGAGUCUUAAUAGGGCGAAUGAGUUUGUGGGAUCAGACCCGAAACCGAGUGAUCUAGGCAUGGCCAGGCUGAAGGUACGGUAACACGUACUGGAGGGCCGAACCCACAUCUGUUGAAAAAGAUCGGGAUGAGCUGUGCCUAGGGGUGAAAGGCCAAUCAAACUCGGAGAUAGCUGGUUCUCCGCGAAAUCUAUUUAGGUAGAGCGUCACGUGAAUACCCUCGGGGGUAGAGCACUGGAUGGGCUAGGGGGCCGCGAGGCUUACCAAACCUAACCAAACUCCGAAUACCGAUAAGUAUGAGCACGGCAGACAGACCAUGGGUGCUAAGGUCCAUGGUCGAGAGGGAAACAGCCCAGACCGCCAGCUAAGGUCCCUAAG